rnacentral:rRNA from 1 species
CGCAACGAGCGCAACCCUUAAGCUUAGUUGCCAUCAUUAAGUUGGGCACUCUAAGUUGACUGCCGGUGACAAACCGGAGGAAGGUGGGGAUGACGUCAAAUCAUCAUGCCCCUUAUGAUUUGGGCUACACACGUGCUACAAUGGACAAUACAAAGGGCAGCGAAACCGCGAGGUCAAGCAAAUCCCAUAAAGUUGUUCUCAGUUCGGAUUGUAGUCUGCAACUCGACUACAUGAAGCUGGAAUCGCUAGUAAUCGUAGAUCAGCAUGCUACGGUGAAGACGUUCCCGGGUCUUGUACACACCGCCCGUCACACCACGAGAGUUUGUAACACCCGAAGCCGGUGGAGUAACCUUUUAGGAGCUAGCCGUCGAAGGUGGGACAAAUGAUUGGGGUGAAGUCGUAACAAGGUAGCCGUAUCGGAAGGUGCGGCUGGAUCACCUCCUUUCUA